GAUGAACGCUGGCGGCGUGCCUAAUACAUGCAAGUCGAGCGAACAGACGAGGAGCUUGCUCCUCUGACGUUAGCGGCGGACGGGUGAGUAACACGUGGAUAACCUACCUAUAAGACUGGGAUAACUUCGGGAAACCGGAGCUAAUACCGGAUAAUAUAUUGAACCGCAUGGUUCAAUAGUGAAAGACGGUUUUGCUGUCACUUAUAGAUGGAUCCGCGCCGCAUUAGCUAGUUGGUAAGGUAACGGCUUACCAAGGCGACGAUGCGUAGCCGACCUGAGAGGGUGAUCGGCCACAAUGGAACUGAGACACGGUCCAGACUCCUACAGGAGGCAGCAGUAGGGAAUCUUCCGCAAUGGGCGAAAGCCUGACGGAGCAACGCCGCGUGAGUGAUGAAGGUCUUCGGAUCGUAAAACUCUGUUAUUAGGGAAGAACAAAUGUGUAAGUAACUAUACACGUCUUGACGGUACCUAAUCAGAAAGCCACGGCUAACUACGUG
rnacentral:rRNA from 1 species